rnacentral:rRNA from 1 species
UGAGGAAUAUUGCGCAAUGGGGGGAACCCUGACGCAGCAACGCCGCGUGCAGGAAGAAGGUCUUCGGAUUGUAAACUGUUGUCGCCAGGGAAGAAAAAAAUGACGGUACCUUGUGAGAAAGUCACGGCCAACUACGUCCCCGCAGNCGCGGUAAUACGUAGGUGACAAGCGUUGUCCGGAUUUACUGGGUGUAAAGGGCGCGUAGGCGGAUGUGCAAGUCAGUCGUGAAAUGCCGGGGCUUAACCCCGGAGCUGCGAUUGAAACUGUACACCUUGAGUAUCGGAGAGGAAAGCGGAAUUCCUAGUGUAGCGGUGAAAUGCGUAGAUAUUAGGAGGAACACCAGUGGCGAAGGCGGCUUUCUGGACGACAACUGACGCUGAGGCGCGAAAGUGUGGGGAGCAAACAGGA